GAAACUUUMGCGAGCUUCGGCUCACUAUCGGAUCGUUUUAGAAACAUCAGGGGCCAACAGAUCGCCAGAUCGUUGAGCUCCAUUGGCGGGAUUUCGCCGUCUACGUUUCUCUUUCUUCGCGGACGAACACGCGCUGGGCCUGCAUGUGCAGGAACCCAUGGUCCUUAACGGGAUAAGCGUUAGGGGCUUGUAGCUCAGUUGGUUAGAGCGCGCGCUUGAUAAGCGUGAGGUCGGAAGUUCAAGUCUUCCCAGGCCCACCACACUCAUCGAGUGAGCAUUCGUCUUCUGGUUACGGGGCCAUAGCUCAGCUGGGAGAGCGCGUGCUUUGCAAGCAUGAGGUCGUCGGUUCGAUCCCGUCUGGCUCCACCAGAUGGUUUGAUCACCGAGAUCGUGCAUCGUCGUCCGCGAAACAUCACUUCGCAUCUUGCUAGUCUGGAUAGACAGCAAGUUGCGUGUUUUCUGACAUCGUAAAGAGGAGAUCGAUCCGAGUUGGGUCGUGCAGCAGAUUGUUGCGCGAAUCCUUCAUUAUCUCCGGAUCAUUUUCGGCGCUCGACGCUGACCGCAAGGUUGGCUGCGAGUUGUAAAAUGAUCCUUUUAGCGAAGCUUGACCGCCUCGCUAUCGGAACGAUCUUACGAAGCAAGCUGGUCUUUCUAAUCAUUGUCCGGCUGCAGAUAGCGUUCAUCGAGGGCGCGUGCCGCAAGGUAAUUCUGCAGACAACAUUCUGCCGAGUGUGUGGACAUUGAUAAUGAGAGCAAUCAAGUGCCUUAAGGGUGUUCGGUGGAUGCCUUGGCGCUGAGAGGCGAUGAAGGACGUGCUACGCUGCGAUAAGCCGUGGGAGCUGCGAAGAAGCUUUGAUCCGCGGAUUUCGUG
rnacentral:misc_RNA from 1 species